UACGUAGGGUGCGAGCGUUAAUCGGAAUUACUGGGCGUAAAGCGUGCGCAGGCGGUUCGUUAAGUCAGAUGUGAAAGCCCCGGGCUCAACCUGGGAACUGCAUUUGAAACUGGCGGGCUUGAGUAUGGCAGAGGGGGGUGGAACUCCGCGUGUAGCAGUGAAAUGCGUAGAGAUGCGGAGGAACACCGAUGGCGAAGGCAGCCCCCUGGGCCAAUACUGACGCUCAGGCACGAAAGCGUGGGGAGCAAACAGG
rnacentral:rRNA from 1 species